AAAAAAAUAAUAAUAAUAAUAAUAAUAAGGAUGUGGAGGCGGGACUUUGGCCCGGCCGGAAGGUGGAGGCGUGACCUGUUCUAGGCUCCAUGUGGGCGGGGCCUAGGUAAGGGGCGGGGCUUGUAUGGAGCAGGUUGGGCGCCUAAGAAUGGACUCUUGUCUCUGCAGUCGAGGGUUUCAGCGGCUACGCGGUGCGGUACUUGAAGCCCGAGGUGACCCAGACCUGGCGGUACUGCCUCAAUCAGAACCCCAGCUUGGACCGCUACGGACAGAAGCCCCUGCCUUUCGACUCCUUGAACACCUUCCGAAGCUUUGGAUCCCAUUACAGUCGUGUCAACUACCUGGCCCCCUGGCAUUAACCCAUGGAAAGGAGGCUGACCCGCAGACUGUUGGACCGUGCCACCUCAGGUCUCCCAGCCAGACAGAGGACAUAUGGUGGCACCAUGUAUUUCCCCAGCAGUUGAGCCUGACUAGAAAUAAACCCGAAGCUCCCUCAAGGAGGCGUGAGACAUGUGUGUAUGUGUCAGGACCACUGGAUGACAGCGUCUUACCCUUGCCUGCCCACAGCCAACUCCAAGAGGACUGGUGGGGAUGGAGAAAGAGGUCUGCUUACCCCCAAUAGUCAGGGUCUAAGCCCCAAGGCCCAACCAGGGCUGAGGUAUAAGGGCCAGCCUGGGAAUUGGGUUUUUCUUGUGCUCCUGUCCCCUGCUUACAACCUCACAGCCAUGCCCCCUCCACCUCAGAUUCUGAGUUUAAACACUAAGGAGAAAGGGAGGAGGAUAGAAAGGGGGGUUUAAGUGCCUCUUUCUGAAGUCCUCACUAUAUAGCAAGGUGCUCUGGGGAACCUUCUCUGUGUCUAGAGUCUCCAUGAGGUAGUAGAGGCCAGCUCUAGAGCUGGUCAGGCCUAUGGCCUCUAUUCUCUAUGAAGCAACAGAAUGUAGAAUAUAAACCUCCAUGAAGCUCUUUCCCAAGCCCUUUCCUUCAAGCCCAGUGGGCAGUUCAUGCUGGCUUGAACCUUGGAAAGCAUUGGCAAAGCCCCUUGAAGUGUCAGAAGCCACAUUCCACAGCCCUUAGUUUCCCCCCUAAAUGACAGUUCAGAGAAGAGUUGGAUUUGUCCAAGGCUCACAGCAGGGAUGCUAGAGUCCUGGCCUGUCCCUGACAGGACAUGGGGAGAGCUCCAGCGAACACUCUGAAUAGUCCCACAGGGAAUCAAAUACUCAAAUCAAAUAUUUUCAUUUGAGUAUUUUUCCUGGCCCUGCUUCCUUGACACCAAAUGACAGGGCAAGUCCUUCCCAGAAUGUGGCCCAGCAAACAUCUGAGGCCUUUGCCUGGGCUAGGCCCUGUGCUAGGCCAGAGGGACCCAGACAUGAUACCAUCCCUGCCUUUGAGGUGUUUGCAGUGCAGUGGGAGAGACAGGCAGUCUCAGCCAAUUCAAACCUGAAAGCAGAAUGUGAGUACACCUGGAAGACCAUGUUCCUCCAGCCCAAGAUACCAUGAAUGGUAAACCACACCAGCAAUGUAAUUAAACGUUCUUGCCCACCAAGUAUACAUUUAAUCCUGAUUUCACAAAUAUAAAAAAUAGGUGCCUAAGAUUAAAGGAAAUACAGAAUAGUUGUGGGGUUUUUUUUGGCCGGGGCUAGGUUUGAACCUGCCACCUCCGGCAUAUGGGACUGGCGCCCUACUUGAGCCACAGGCGCCGCCCGGAAAUACAGAAUAGAUCACAAACACACCCGAUGUUAUGUGUAAUUUCUGUUUUUAAGAGGAAGGCAAUGCAUUAAGCAUUUGACAGUCUCCACGAGAUAUGUAAUUUUAGGCCUACUUUAUAGAUGAUGAAAGGAACUCGGGAAGGUUAAGUGGCUAGCUCAAGAUCACACAGCCAGCAGAGCUAAGAAUUGAAGCCAGCCUGCCUGAUCCUCUGGCCUGUGGCCACCGUACUCCCUGCUAUGGGAGAGAUGUAAGCCAAGAGUAGGGAAGAAACCAGAGGGGGCUUCCUAAGGGUGGAGACAUCUGACUAGGGCUUAAAGGGCUUAAAGGAAAGACUGGAUGUUCCAUCAGAAGAAAGAUCUCGGAGUUGCUGGCAGUGGCAGAGUCUGCAGUCAGAGGCCACAGUCCAAGAGAUGGAAAGACCCUGCCCCCACCCAGUCUGGGCCACUUUCUCCCCACAUGUCAGCUUCCUCUCAGCCUCCAAGGCAUCUUUGCUAUUAUAAAUAGGCCACAUCAGAAAUCUUCCCUGCAACCCCAGCCUGAGGGACAGCCCAGAUUUCAUGGCCUCACUUUUGUGUUGUCUUACCAGCCUGAUAUCAAUCCAUGACCCUGGCCCUUUCCCCCAACACAAACCUUACUAUAGUCUCCUUGCUGUUCCAAAUGCUCUGGACUCUUGUCUACCUCUGAACCUUUGUUCAAAGGCUUCUUUUCACCAGAAAUGCUUUCCCCACCUCCUCCUGCACAAAUCUCACGCUUUCCACCAGACAGUCCUCUAUCAAGUCCACACAUGUCCCCAACUCUUCCCCCAAACCACAAGGACAGGAUCCAUGGCUGUUUCAGAGGAUUAAUUCAUGCCCUCUUGUCCACAGUGGGUUCAUUCACCAGCUCCUCUUAUCUCUCCAACUGGACCUGGGGCUCAGGAAUGGGGCCUGUGUUCUCCCAGAACCAACACACCAAUCUUGACUACAUUAUCAUUGUUUUGAGACAUGAUCUUGCUCUGUCACCCUGGCUAGAGUGCAGGGGCAUCAUAGCUCAUAGCAACCUCAAACUCCUGGGUUCAAGUAUUCUCCUGCCUCAGCCUCCCCAGUAGCUUGGACUACAGUUGCCCGCCACCAGACCCAGCUAAUUUUUCUAUUUUUAGUAGAGAUGAGGUCUUGCUCUUGCUCAGGCUGGUCUUGAACUCCUGCCUACAAAGUAAGUGGAACUUGAGUCUGGCACAGAAACAGGGGCCUUGGGCAUCCUCUUGCUGAGAGGCAGAGACUUGUGGGAAGAACCACAUGGCCUCUCAAGGGCAGGGACCUCCUAUGGCCACAACAGAGGGAAAAAGAGGAGCACAGGGUCUGGUUCAUCUCUGGGGUCCCUUGCCUUCCACUAAGCCCUCUUUACCCAGUUUUUGAGCACAAUGCAGCUCCUUUCUUUUCUCUCUUUUAUUUAUUUUUUUAUUUUUUUGAGACAUAGAGUCUCAUUCUGCUGCCCUUGGUAGAGUGCCAUCAUAGCUCACAGCAACCACAUACACUUGAGCUCAAGAGAUCCUCUUGCCUCACUCAGCUUCCAGAGUAGAUGGGACUACAGGCACACACACCCCCCAGUAACACCUGGCUAAUUUUCCUAUUUUUAGUGCAGACAGGGUCUUGCUCUUGCUUAGGCAAUCUACCUACUUUGGCCUCCCAGAGUGCUGGAGUUACAGGCAUGAACCACCGCAUCUGGUUGCAGCCCCUUUCUUUUUAACUUUCUAUCCCCACCUUCCCCUCCAGGGCAGGGUCUCCUGCUCACUACUCCAUGGGCACUCAGACACCCAGGCCUACAAGGCUGUUUCUCUCUGUCUCUCCACCUUCACCCUCACAUGUGAGCAACAGACAGAGCCUAAGUUGCAGUUGGGCCAGCAAGGCAGGGUGGGGUACAAGAGAAAAGGAGCAUAGGCCUGGCUGGGGCCACAGCUGGCCACCCUCUGGGGCAGGACUGGGUUGGCAGGGUCUGCCAAUAUUACAGAAAGACCCUUAGUUUUCCAUCAGGGUUGAGCAGCUCUCAUGCCUAUCAGGCCCAGUCGUCAGCCUCUGGCCCUCCAAGAGCUGCUGCUCCCUCGUGGCCCAGCUCCUUCCUCCAGGGCUGCAUUUAAAGCCUGAGGAGGUCACAGGGCUGUAGGACCACCCCAAGGGCCCCAGAUGUCCUGCAGUUCGUACUGUCAGCAUCUUCAUAGCUUCCCCACCAGGGCCUUCCUGCAGGGUGCCAAUUAAUUCUCACUACAACCAGGUAAGGCAAGGUUUACCUCCCCAUUUUAUAGAUGACAUGACUGAGUCCCAAAGAAGGCCACACAGCCAAAAUGUUC